rnacentral:piRNA from 1 species
UGCCGUCUUUUCUAUCAGAAGAGAAUC